CAGAUCUUUUUUCAUUUGGGGGCUGAAGGAAACAGUGGUGCUUUGGCCUUGCUUUUUGCACAUUUGUGGAGCCCUUCAAUCUCCUUGGUAGCAAUAGAGCGAGUCUUUUGCCGUUCAACUUGAGCAGUAACAGGGGCAGUGUCAACUUUUGUACCUAUACCAGUGGUCACUCCAAUCUCCAAAUUUUCAUAACCACCAGUAAUGAUGUUGGAUCCCUCAGAACCAACAACGGUUGUAUCACCAACAAGAUUAGGAUCAAGUUCAGUGAUAUUGGUAAUGAGUUCAUCAGUAAAAGAUGAAGGAUUGUAUGUUUGCUGGGUAGCCAUAUCAACAACAGUUUCUUGAACAAAAUGGGAAUUGGGGUUACCCUGUUGAACCGC
rnacentral:lncRNA from 1 species